rnacentral:rRNA from 1 species
CUAGCGACUUCAGAGUUUGAUCCUGGCUCAGGAUAAACGCUGGCGGCGCACAUAAGACAUGCAAGUCGAACGGAAGUCGUUUUAAUGAUUUUGAAAUGAAAGAUUUAUCCGGAAUGAUGAUGAUUUAAAACAAUGGCUUCAGUGGCGGACUGGUGAGUAACACGUAAGCAACCUGCCUGUUAGAGGGGAAUAACAACGAGAAAUCGUUGCUAAUACCGCAUAUGCCAUAUGAACCACAUGGUUCAAGUGGGAAAGGAGUAAUCCGCUAACAGAUGGGCUUGCGUCUGAUUAGAUAGUUGGUGGGGUAACGGCCUACCAAGUCGACGAUCAGUAGCCGGACUGAGAGGUUCAACGGCCACAUUGGGACUGAGAUACGGCCCAG